GACGAACGCUGGCGGCGUGCUUAACACAUGCAAGUCGAACGGAAAGGCCCUGCUUUUGUGGGGUGCUCGAGUGGCGAACGGGUGAGUAACACGUGAGUAACCUGCCCUUGACUUUGGGAUAACUUCAGGAAACUGGGGCUAAUACCGGAUAGGAGCUCCUGCUGCAUGGUGGGGGUUGGAAAGUUUCGGCGGUUGGGGAUGGACUCGCGGCUUAUCAGCUAGUUGGUGGGGUAGUGGCUUACCAAGGCUUUGACGGGUAGCCGGCCUGAGAGGGUGACCGGCCACAUUGGGACUGAGAUACGGCCCAGACUCUUACGGGAGGCAGCAGUGGGGAAUAUUGCACAAUGGGCGGAAGCCUGAUGCAGCAACGCCGCGUGCGGGAUGACGGCCUUCGGGUUGUAAACCGCUUUCGCCUGUGACGAAGCGUGAGUGACGGUAAUGGGUAAAGAAGCACCGGCUAACUACGUG
rnacentral:rRNA from 1 species